GAUGAACGCUGGCGGCAUGCCUAACACAUGCAAGUCGAACGGAAAGACAGUGAGAUUGUGCUCUUACCGGUGGCGGGUGGCGGGCGGGUGACGAGUGCAUCGCAAUCUUCUCUUUCGGGUAUGAUAACGGAAGAAAGGUUACUAUAAUACAGCAUAUGUCGUACGGCUGAGGGCUGUGGAUAUUCUUGCCUUUCGCGUAUGAAAUAGCCGAUGACGGUCUGGAUAGUUGGGUGGGUAAAGGCCCACCAAGGCAAGGAUACGUUGCUGGUCUGAGAGGAUGAUCGGCCACACUGGAACUGAGACACGGUCCAGACUCCUACGGGAGGCAGCAGUGGGGAAUAUUCGGCAAUGGGCGAAAGCCUGACACAGCGAUACCGCGUGGGUGAAGAAGGCCUUCGGGUCGUAAAGCCCUUUUGUUGGGAAAGAACAGCUGCAGGUUUAUACGCAGCUGUUCUGACGGUACCUAAUGAAUAAGCACCGGCUAACUACGUG
rnacentral:rRNA from 1 species